AAAACAACACAUCAGCUGAUGAUGACCACAGAGACUGGCAGGACUGAGGACCCAAUAUUCUUUUUCCAGCCUGGUAGAGAGUGAAUAGUGAGGUUCCAAAACUAAACAAGGGAGGUCAGGAAAACUUUCCAACCUUACCUAACAAGGAAGUGUCAUGGAAAGUGUUGGGUGGUGAUGGUGCAAAAGGAACUUGAGGAGGAGGGAAGAAAAAGCACUUCUCAAAGCUGGGGAAGAGAAGAUAUGGAGAAAGCCCUAAAUUCCUCAUUGAAGGCCAAUCUCAGAAGUGGAGGGGUUAUGAUCUGUGCUUCAGUCAAAGUCAUCAUUGUGCAGAGCCUUGCUGAUAUUCUGUGACAGACCCGAAUUUACUACACGUGCUCUGAAGCGAUCACCUUUUCUAGAGUUUCUUCUACCUGCUUUCGAGUUGGAUGACAAGAAGCAAAGACCAACAGAUCCUCUAGACCAGUGUCAGAAAUGAGAGAGACCUUCGAGAGAAAACAUCCAGUUCCAGAGUGACCAGACUUUCAGGAUAGGAAAACUGAAAACAAAAUUCUGAGCUUGCUUUUAUUUUGCUAACUAAGGAUGAAAAAUUUUUUUCCAUUUACUAUCACUAUUUCAUAAACGACAGGAUGUUUUAACACUGAAAACAAAGGUAGAAAGAAUCAACUUUUAAAUUGAAUGACUUCAACUCUACAAAAUACUGUAUUUGUUUUCUUCAUCUCACAAUAGCCCGGUAUUUGACAACCACUGAUGUGGUCCAACUCCUUAUUAUAAGAUGAAGAAAAAAGUUCAUAGGUGGAAGUGUUUUGCCUGAGGUUACACCAGGCCAGCCUUUUCCUGGCUUUACAGGGACUAAUUACCCUUGGGUUCUAUAGGUCUUGGAACCAAAUGAACUAAGGAAGCUCUAAAGAUGAAGGAUGUGUUGGUUAUCUAUUAUUGCCUCACAGCUCCAAAUGCACUCUUCAAUACCUGUAAUAUACAAGAGAAUUCCUUUAAACAUUUCUCCACUAAAGGGAGUGUGAUGUUAAGAUUUCUCAGUAGAGGGCAAUGGAGGCACAUUCCAGGACAAAGAGGCUUCCCCAGGUUUCUGGGCGAGGCUGGUGUCAGCCCUGUGAGUGUGAAGAUUUCCAUCCAGUGGAGCCUGCCCCAGCUGUGGGCACAGAAAAACUGUCCAUCUACAACCUUACAGCCUCUUCUUGUGAUAACCUUUCCAUAGCUCUCUUGACAUGGAAACCAAAGCUCCUGCCUGGCCCACACACAGGUACUUUUGCCUAGAGGGUCAUACACAGGAUAGCCAUUCCUUCUGCAAGUUUCCAUGUGGCCCACAUGCUCUGAAGGCCCCUGCCCUGCUGGUGUCCAGGCUCCCACUGCAUAUCCACACCAGUGGCUGCUGACUGACUGGCUGCUCUCCAGCCACAAUCUAGAGGUUAGCUGUUGCUUACCUAGCAACUGGUAGACCAGCCCUGGCCUGGCCAAACCAUCUUACAUUGCUGCUUAUCCAGUGGGCUGAAACAUACCUUCUCCAACGAGGUCUGAACUCCUUCCUUGAGUACUCUCUCUGAACCCUCGCAUACUGUAUAGGAUUUCCUUUUACCUUUUUUUUUUUUUCUUUUUUUUUGAAAUGGAGUUUUGCUCUUGUUGCCUAGGCUGGAGUACAAUGGCGUGAUCUCAGCUCACUGCAACCUCCACCUCUUAGGUUCAAGCGAUUCUCCUGCCUCAGUCUCCCGACUAGCUGGAUUUACAGGCACCUGCCACCAUGCCCAGCUAAUUUUUUGUAUUUUUAGUAGAGAUAGGGUUUCACCAUGUUGGUCAGGCUGGUCCUGACCUCAGGUGAUCCACCCGCCUCGACCUCCCAAAGUGCUGGGAUUACAGGUGAGAGUCACCCUGCCAGGCCCCUUUUGUCUUAUAGAUACUGCUUUAUCAUAGUUAAUAGUUCUUUGUAUUAAACUUUGAUUUUAUCCACUAUGUGAUUUCUAUUUCCUGAUUGGACCCAGCUCACUACUGAAGCUGAGCAUGAAGAGCUCUGUACAGCCUUCUGAAAAGGCACAAAGACAAGAGGUUGCUGUUUGACACUCAAAAGAUUCAUGCUUAAAAAAUGAAAAAAGACCGUUCCUUCUCAUUCUAUUAUCUAACAAAUUCAUACAACAUCAUUAUUUAUGUGCAAGGCACUUUGGUAGCUAAGUGCGUAACUUAGAACAAGAUGGGAAGAGAUCAGUGCCCUAAGAUGGCACUGAUGGGGGUGGGAUUUUGGCUGGAAGAGACAGCAUUUGAGAAGGACUUUCACAGAUAGGAAGAAAUAGAACAUACAGGAGGAAAAUCAGAGGGGGAAGUCCAGAUGGAAGAAACCUCCGUGCCUUUUGCUCAGGACAAAAGUUGCUGCAGAGGUUCUGAAUUUGAGCUGCCUCAGCUGUAUCCUCUCUGGAGAGAGUUGAUAAUGGGAUUGCUCAAGCAGUCUUGUAAACAGAGAAGAAGUGUCCUCCUGGAAAAAGAGCUGGGCUUUCAUGUCAUGUCACCACACAAAGCAGAAACCCAGCACGUUUUGCUUUAUGGUUUAAGAUUUUGUUACAUUCAAUGUAAUUUGCUAAAUACGACAAAACUACCAACCCCCCAUCGUUUAUAAUUAUCUAACUAAUCAUUCUGAUUUCUGGAGAAAAACCAAAGGUAGCCAAUGCCAAGGCCCCUGGUUUAAGAACCGAGUCCCCUCUCCGAUUUCCACACUGUAGAUGCUGAUUCCAGAUUGCAGCUGGGCCUGCUGACCUGAGACAGGGCCCGUGGUCUGGAAAGGAUCCAUGUGAGGGAGACAGGACGAGGACCUUACAGUCUGAGAGAACACAGUAUGGCGAUGACAGGGAGCAGGGAUCCCGGGUGGUACCCGAGGAAGGGACUGUCCUGUGGUGGAUGCUGUUCCUCUUAUCUGUACCCUAAGCCACCGUCAAUUCCUAGCCCUGUGUGGGUGUCGGGAGCUGCUCAGGGUCUCCUCUCUGACAGAGGGAUGAUGUUCUCAGUGAUGAGCCACUGGCCUUUGCUGUCAGC